GUUUCCGUANGUGAACCUGCGGAAGGAUCAUUG
rnacentral:rRNA from 1 species